UUGCCCUCUAGUCUGUUGAAGUCAGUUCUCGUCAGUUGAGUUGUUAGUUUGUUGUUACCAACAUGAACAUCUUACUGAUAAAGUAGGACAUUAGACAAUGGAGGAGUGGACUACCUGAGAUGGUGGUGGAUUCUCCUUCUUUCCAGGUUUUUAAACAGAGAUGUUUACUUAGAAAUGUAAGCUGAUAUUAAAGCUGGUCUGUACCUAACCUAAUAUUGCCUGUGUAUUAUCUGAAGCAGCAACAGCCUAACCAGACAAGUUAAACGUAAUCUAUUCUGAGGAUGUCUGGAUGGUAAGGAGGAAUCACUCUCCUACUGAUUUCAUAGCUGGACUAUAUGCUGAUGGCUGGGGAAUUCUGGGAGUUGUAGUCAACACAUCUGGAAACAUCAGUUUGGAGAAAGCUGGCAUAGAAAACCAAGGUUAGGUCCAACCCUACUUCAGGGUUCCAUUGUCGAAGGGCGAGAUGAGACAGGGGCAGAUGAGGACAAACAAUCUCUAAAACCAAGGACCACGUUUUGCAAGAUUUUCAUGGGAAAUGCACCUCUUGCGGUCUUCUCUCAGGUUGUGCUGCAUUUUUAUCCUUUACAUGAGGUUACAGCACUUCGACCAAAUUCAGCAACCACUUCUGAAUUGCACACCAAUGGGUUACAGCCAUUAACUGUCCAGAGUACAGUUACUCUAAUAGACAUUGCAUCAUAUACAACAGUCUUCUGAACCUGGUACUGUACCUUCCAGAUGUGCUAGACCACAUGUGGUUUCUUGUUAACUUAAGGGAGUGGAAAUCCAACCUAUACAGAGUACACCAGAUCCAUUGAAUCAUGGAAGACUAGAACUGGAAGGAUCCCAUCAAGUCCAGCCCUUUGCCAAAGGCCAAAUUUAUAUGUUUUCAGGAGUACACUAGAAAAUACAGAAUUUAAAGAAGAAGGCUUGGAGCCUCUGAAAAUCUGCUCUAGAUGGUUGGACAACCCUUCAGGAUUGG